UACGGGGGGAGCAAGCGUUGUUCGGAUUUACUGGGCGUAAAGGGCGCGUAGGCGGUCAGCACAAGUCAGUUGUGAAAUCUCCGAGCUUAACUCGGAAAGGUCAACUGAUACUGUGCGACUAGAGUGCGGAAGGGGCAACUGGAAUUCUUGGUGUAGCGGUGAAAUGCGUAGAUAUCAAGAGGAACACCUGCGGCGAAGGCGACUACCUGGCCUGUUUCUUGACGCUGAGGCGCGAAAGCUAGGGGAGCAAACGGG
rnacentral:rRNA from 1 species